UAAGUCCUCACACCAUCAACUAUGACAAAAUCUGAGAGUAUAAGUCUGGUUACAUUCACCCAAGUCCAAACAUAAAAUUAUAUCCAACAUAGUACAGCCCACUUUGAUAAUUUCAUAGUACAUCUCACUAAAUAUGUAGUGCAUCACAGAACUACUACCCCAUAUCAUCACAAAGACAUAAUAAACUCAAUGAGCCAAUUGUAGUUUGCUAGCACUAAGAUGAUAUUGCCAUAAGCAGUACAUCACAGGGUACCCUCCUGUAUCACCCGCCAAUGAAUCAAUUUUGUUUGGCACCACUAAGACGGCAUACUUGCUGCUGUGGUCGCCAAUUUAGAACAUAGCCACAUACACACCUAAGCAAGAAAAUGCAAGACCUAUUAGAUGGAUGAGGCCCCCAGACCAACAAACCGAAAUAAAGCACACAUGGAAAGCAAAAAAAAUUAAAAAAAUGGUGGUGGUUUCGGUUUGUGUGCUCACCAAUUAAGAACACAACCACAUAAAUAACAAAGAUAAUGCAAAACCUAGAUGGACGAGAUCCUGGACCAGCAAAUCCAUAAUAAAGCACUCAUGAACGUUUUCGAAGUGAGAUUGCAACCUAGCAGAAAGCAGUACACAGCGAUCAUGAAUGAGUCUGCUUUACCACAUGAAUUUCAACAUUUCACUGAAUCAUCACAAAACUACCCCAUAGCACCAUCAAGACAUGAAAUCUAUGGAUCAAUUGUUGUUUGCUACCAGCUAAAACAGCCUAGCUGCUGCCACACACAUACGUAAGCAAGAAAUUUAGUAAUGCACAUUUUAGGACAUAUUUAGUAACAACCCAUAUUUCGGGACAGCAAACUAAACUGAUAGAUGCUCUCAAACCGUACAUCCAAACGACACAAAUAAAUACUCUAAAGAAACCUUGAAACUUUAUCUAAAACUUAUGUAAAGGGGCCAACUCAAAAUUCUGAGCCUAGCUAAAUCAUUUUUCAGAUAUAAGUUUGUUGUCCAGAUUUGACAGUGCAGUUUUUAACGGAACCAAGUUCAGUUUAUAGCUAGAGUCACCCCAGAGACAUUUUAGGAGAACACUAGUAGUAAUUCAGCUUAGUGGUUCGGAAAGAAAAUCCCAGCUUGUAGACAAAAAUUCAAGACAUAUCUUUUGAGAAUACUAGCAGAAUGUGCAGCAUAAAUUCCAAUCAAGGAGAAGAGAAGACAACCUCAGUGAGCGAUUGCGGUAAAGAUGCAGAGAACGAACUAACAAUCAGAGGAACAGUUGUAAACAGAAUGCAAUGCCGAGGAGCUCGUCACAUGAACAUUCGCCUAAGAUAUCCUCUUGAGGUUUUGCACUGAAGACUGCAGGGCUGCACACUUAAUCAGGUUCAGCACCGAAGAUCAAUGGUCCAGCUGGGCUCUGAAAAUGCAAAGAAACAUGAUGGGAAAGUUAGGUCUCUGCUUAAAGAAAAAAAAGCUGCCUAGAGCUACUGCAGCACGAUCUAUUCUGCUUACUACUAAAGUUAUAGAAGUAUCAUGCUUUCAUAACCAACUAGUUACCAUUAAGUUCAAAUACUGUCCACAAAACCACAACAGAAGUAGCACAAAAUCAUUCAAGUACCAUUGUUUAACUAAAACUUGGUGUGAAUAAGAUCCUCUGUCAGUAGUUCAUACCAAUAGUCAAAAACCCAAAACCUGACACCAACUAGUUACCAUAAGGUCAAAUACUGUCCACAAAACCAUAACAGAAGUAGCACAAAAUUAUUCAAGUAUCAUUGUUUAACUAAAACUUGGUGUAAAUAAGGUAAUAAAAGCAAAUUGCUGCAAUUUGGCCAUUUGUUAACAGUUAAGAGAUACCAGCAAUGACCAAGUACCGGUGGAAAUGUGAAAUAGCACAAAAUCCUAUGACUGAUUGGGUGAUGCCAAAAUGAAAAUGAUUGUUGCCCACUGACUUUCCACAUAGACACAGCCCCCGUUAACAAAUCAUGACUCACUCUGAUGACUGAUCUGGACCUGUACUACCAGUACCAGUAGAAGAAUACUCGAGUCGACCAAGAUAAACCUUGUUUGGGUGCCUCCCUGCAGCAGACCAAGUGUUGUUCAGGACCCUAGUAAGUACUAGUGUACAC
rnacentral:lncRNA from 1 species